rnacentral:lncRNA from 1 species
CCUCCCUAGUUCACAGCAUUAAAUCCACAGGCCUGUGCGGGGCGGGGGGGGGAGGGGGAAUUUCUGCCCUCUUAAAUAAAUUGAAUAUUUAUGGACCAUUUUCCUGCCUGGGAAGAAUGCAAGACUGACAGGGAAUCCAGUGUCUGGACAGUAAAGCACAAGAGGGAGGGAGCUCACGGCCUGCCAAGCACAGCUUCGCCUGCAGAGACUUUGGGGCACUCCUUCCCGGGGGGAGGGGAGCCUUCACCAUACCUGCCUCGGACCUCGUGAGCCCUGACUCCCGUGGGCAGUCCCCACUGCCAGAGUUUAUAGACCAGCACCAAAGAGGCACAGGGCCUGGCCGAGCCCAGCUCGGAGCAGGCCCUGGCUCUGGCUAAGCAGUGCCCCUCUCAGCCUCUUUCGCGGGCCCCAGGUAGGAAUCAAGUCCCCAGGCUCCAGGGGCACGCAUUGCAGCCAACUUACUGUGUCACCUACCAUGCUGCCAGUGCAGCCAGAGCUCCUGCUCUACAGGGCAGGACAAAGCGUUCGCAAACUUGGAUUCUUUUGAAGUAUGAAUUCAUUUCAGUGAGCACUCCCGUCCCUACUGGUGGGCAGGGGGUGCACAGAGCACUCUCACUGGCUCCCGGGGAGCAGGCCUCCGCUGGAGCCUUAGUGCUCAGGUUGGAGACUGCAGGCAAUGCCUCCUGUCCCACCUCCGGCCCAGGGCCUCUCCCACACCAGUGGAGCUCAGUGCCGCUCCCACACAGGAUUUUGUGCCCUGGCAGGUGGCAGACAGGAAUCUCCACAGGAGCCAUUGCAAGUGUUGGAAAGGCUGGAAGCUGCCUCGGGGGAUUUCCCACUCCUCCAGCAGUAGGAUGGGCCUCAAACGCAGGAGUCACCGCACCUGCGGGCAGGCGUGCAUGGCCCAGGCUACCUGAAGUGUGCUCUGCUGGGCAACAAGCAGCCUCUCCUCGGGUGGCGUUCAGACUCACUAGCCUAGGAACUCGCUCCUUGGACAGCAAUUAAAAACCCACAAAUAAAAUCCCGUCUCCUCCCC